rnacentral:rRNA from 1 species
UACGUAGGGUGCGAGCGUUGUCCGGAAUUAUUGGGCGUAAAGAGCUUGUAGGCGGUUUGUCGCGUCUGCUGUGAAAAUCCGGGGCUCAACCCCGGACUUGCAGUGGGUACGGGCAGACUAGAGUGUGGUAGGGGAGAAUGGAAUCCUGGUGUAGCGGUGGAAUGCGCAGAUAUCAGGAGGAACACCGGUGGCGAAGGCGGUUCUCUGGGCAUUACCUGACGCUGAGGAGCGAAAGUGUGGGGAGCGAACAGG